GGCAACUAUACUGAUGCAUAUACCUUUUGCAGAUAGUUGCAUGCGGUUGGACACAUGGAGGAGAGAAUCAUUUUCGCAGUAUCCUCAAAACCGUGUCUUUUUUACACAACUGCUGGCAGCGAUAGGGACAUAAACACAAAAAAAAAUGCUACUUGGAGACAAGUGUCCACGAUAGUAGGAUUGCCAGGUCAGUUUAGCAGUGAGCUUGUGCUAGAUGUGGCUAGCUAACCUAGCCAAUGAGGUGUGUGUGUGAAAUAAAUAGUCAAAUAAAUUAUGCUAGUUACUACCCCUGAUAACUUUACCAAAUAAUCGUGUUUGAAAGAGUGUGAGUGUAUGCUAGAUUAAUAGAAAUUGUAGAUACUACUGUACCCCUGAUAAUUUGGUCAGAUAACCGUGUGUGUGUGUACAGUAGGUGACAUGUCCAUGAUAGCUAUCUAAUAACUAUAGUUAUGCUAGGUAAUGGGUUGGCUUAUCAUGUUCAUGUCUAUGUAGCAGAAAACUGUAAGAGGAAGUGGAUAGGACUCAGGGACAGGUAUCAGAGAGAGAGAGAGAAGGGCAGAGAAAGAGAAGAAGAGGUCUGGGUCAGCAGCCACAUUCUUUCUUUUCUGGAUCCAUUUAUUGUGCCUAGGGCAAUGAGUGGCAAUUUUACAGCCAGACCCUCUACUACGUCAUCCACAAGUCUUGUCCCCACCGGUGCAUCAAGACCCUCUACAACGUCUACAUCAUCCACGAGUAUGACCACCACCAGUGCAGUCAUGGAAGAUUAUGAAAUGGAGGAAGCACCUCUGGAUCUAGGACCACCUGAGAUUAUUAUGAACCUCACGGAAGUGACCGCUGAGGACCUCGUUGAACAGCAUGUGGCCCGUGGAGAGAAACGAAGAGGAACAACAUCUGUAGCAGCCCCCAGAUCCACUCAACUCAUUUCAGCAGAGGCUCCUCCAAGCUGUCGAGAGGGAUGCAGCCCAACCUGAUGCUCACAGGAAGGAGGAUGAAGAGACCCUCUUUGCCAUGAGCCUAGUUCCAACCCUGGAGAGGCUGCCUUAGCAAAGAAAAGCAGCAGAAAUGGAGUCAAUUUAGCCAACCAGCUCACAGGAAGGACAGGAAGAGGAGUUGUCUGGUUGUUGUUUUGACCUCCCUCAUUCUACCUUUCUUUUCACAUACGUCAGUUCCGUUUCAAUUCAGUCAAUUCAUAAAGUCAUUUCUUUAUAAAGUCUUAGGAUAGCAUUCAUUAUUAGUGUUACAUAGAUUUCUGAAUUGAAACUCGCACACCGGAGAAUUCACAGAUCCCUUGUUGGUCUCUUACGAGACUAAAGGUGAAUAUAUUUCUUUCAUUUAAAAGCACUUGAAAACCAGUGUGUUGAAACUGUUUGUGAAGUUAUGUUCCAUCGACUGGUCCAUGACGUCCAGGGGCCAUUUGUUUGUUUAGCUAUGUUAUGGUUACACCUUAUUUUUACAGAGACACACACCUCUUCUCCACUCCUCUCUGUCCCCCAGAUCUCCAGUGCCCUGCCCUCUCUCUUUAUGGCCAUGUCUGAAGUUCCCCUACUAUGUCUAGUCUUUAUGAGUUGUCCCUGUAUCUGUCUGCAGUUGUGCCAAAAAUACAUGCUCUUGUUGUUCUCUUACAGAUUACAGGCUACACAUUCAUUUGAUGUAUUUUUUACAUGCGCACACACACACAUCUUUUAAUAGAUCUAUUUUUUUUAAACAUUUUUAUAACACACAUACCUGUCAUGUUCUUUCCUGUACUUGAAUACUAAUUAAAUAAUGUUUUCAUAGUCA